CAAUGGCAUUGCCCGGUAGCUAAAUGCGGAAGAGAUAAGUGCUGAAAGCAUCUUAGCACGAAACUUGCCCCGUGAUGAGUUCUCCCUGAGACUAUAAUUCUCCUGAAGGAACGUUAAAGACGAUGACGUUGAUAGGUCGGGUGUGUAAGCGUAGCGAUACGUUGAGCUAACCGAUACUAAUGAACCGUGAGGCUUAACCUUACAACGCCGAAG
rnacentral:rRNA from 1 species